CGGGGAGUGGCGCGGGUCCGUCCCGCCGGCGGGCGGAGGUUCCGCCCGUGUGCGCGGCCGCGGACCGCAGCGCACCGCGCGGGGCGAAGGCGCUGCUCCGUGCCGGCAAACGGGGCGAGCGGGGAGAGUCGUCAAGUAAGGAACAACGGCGGACAGAAGGGGGAGAGAACAAGCCUAAGGACACCACCCCGCCAGCGGCGCUUACAGGAGCCGGAGGCCGCAGGCUGGCAACACCAAGCACCACCUUCUGAAGUUCGCUGUUCCUGGCCACGAGCCUGCUCCUGACCUGGAGGGUUUCACCGCAAGCACAUGGCCAGGCUGCCUCCAGGCAUUCCUCUGGCCGCCCUGUCUCCUGGCUCCCGGCCUCCUCGCCUCUGGACGACUGGCUGCUAUCCACCCUCGCAGAUCCUCCCCGGGAAGCUUGUGCCGCUUGCCGCAGAGGAUUGUGAAACAUGUUUCCUGGUUUAGGGGAGGUGUUGUUUAGCGCCGUUCUCUCUGAGGUGAAACGCUUUCAGAUGCAAUGACAACAAGGCCUGGUGUUGGUUUAUAAAAAACGACAUCUGAAAAACCCAAAAGAAAAGCCUCCUACGCUUAAUAACAGUAAGAAAACAAGCCUGUAAAGUCACAAAUAGAAACAAAUUCUUUCAAUGCCGAUUGAUCAUUUCCAGGAGAAAAUCCAGUAUCGGUCCUUAAAGCAGAACAGACCGAAAUAGAAAAUGAUUUAUCGUUUAUUAUGCUAAUGUGACACAUUGAAGUGGGAGUACAUUAGUGAUCAUUUUUCACCCAAGUACAUGAGGCAUUUGCAAGAGAUUUAUAAAUGCACUAACACAGAGAUCACUGUUUUCCACAAAAUGCCAAAAUUCUCCAAUACUAGCACACGUUUCUUGUUACCAGAUCCCGACAGAAUUCCUAUCAGAUGCCUUCGGGCAUGGUACAGUGGCAUGAUGCAUCAUGUCAAAAAGCAGAUCAGGACCAUUAUCAGGCAGAUGUUUGACAUGAUGCAUCAUGUUACUCAGCCAGUGGCACACUGCCAUUGCUCAAAAGGAUUUUGACAUGAUACAGUGUGCCAAUGCUGUAGCACAAAACCAGCAUGUUCCAAAAAUAGGGACAAAUUCACCUCUGGCAUAAGUAGAAGUAACUACAGUGACUUCAUUAGAUUUGCAUCUGCUUAUGUCAACAGUGAGUUUGGCUCGUAAUCUCAAAUUUAUAUAAAAGAGUGGUAGGUGGCUGCAUUUUCAGGUAUUUGUUAUACUGUUUUCUACUCCCAGCAUUCAACUAUCAUGAGACAGCUAGGGUGAAACCGCCACCUUUCUCAAUUCCUUCCCCUCCACCCCACAAGAAGCAGCAUCAAAUUUCCAUUUUUAACAGUGUAACAAUACCUCCGAGUACGUAGAGGGCCACUCUUCUCAGAAACUUGGGAGGUUGUGAGUUUGGGAAUUUCACAAGCAAUAGGAAUUUACAAAAAGGGAGAGAGAGGAUCUCUGCUUUCUGCCUCCAUACUAUUUCUCAACAGUAGCUGCAAGUGCUGGGUGCACAACAGCAGCAAAAUAAAUUUUGAGUGGCAAUUAGAGUAAUAGUAAAAGAAUGACAUAAAAGAGCAGCAAGGAUGAAAUGUGAGAUCUGAUAAGAUUUGGAGACUUCUUAAAAGGCAUUGUAAUUUAUUGUUUUCCCCUUUCAUCACUUUGGAAUGAAAAGCACAGCUUGCUAAUGCAGAUGCAUCACACUGACAAAAGGAGAGGAGGGGAACCAGCUAAGGUAGGGCUGGUGCGAGAUCUUUACAGAAGAGAAACAUCCUGGCUGUCUGCCACAGUCUGUUUCUUUAGUGAGGAAAAGAACUGGCUGGUUCUGUUUUAAAUAAAGUUCAUUCAUCUUUGCUGUA